rnacentral:misc_RNA from 1 species
GGACAUUAAACUCACGAUCAAUUCGUAUCAUGUCGCCUCUGAUGUCGACUCUGCUGCUGGAUUAAACUGACUAGAAAGGGUGACGGUGGAGGUUAUGCUAUUCGGGGAAUAGGAAUACUCUCUGUAGCAGGUAAUGUCACCGAGCGCAGUAGCUCCAACGAGAAAACGAGCCCCAGGAAAUGAGAGAGAAUAGUAUUUGCAGAAGCCUGUACUAAGAAUACAUCCAAAGCAAGAACAGGGCUAUUCCCAGGGGAGGCUGCCUGGUAAUAUGGAACUGCUGAAGAAGUAAGAGCCUUGGCAACUAACAAUCCCA